UGGGGAAUAUUGGACAAUGGGCGCAAGCCUGAUCCAGCCAUGCCGCGUGUGUGAAGAAGGCCUUAUGGUUGUAAAGCACUUUAAGCGAGGAGGAGGCUACUUUAGUUAAUACCUAGAGAUAGUGGACGUUACUCGCAGAAUAAGCACCGGCUAACUCUGUGCCAGCAGCCGCGGUAAUACAGAGGGUGCAAGCGUUAAUCGGAUUUACUGGGCGUAAAGCGCGCGUAGGCGGCUAAUUAAGUCGGAUGUGAAAUCCCUGAGCUUAACUUAGGAAUUGCAUUCGAUACUGGUCAGCUAGAGUAUGGGAGAGGAUGGUAGAAUUCCAGGUGUAGCGGUGAAAUGCGUAGAGAUCUGGAGGAAUACCGAUGGCGAAGGCAGCCAUCUGGCCUAAUACUGACGCUGAGGUACGAAAGCAUGGGGAGCAAACAGG
rnacentral:rRNA from 1 species